rnacentral:rRNA from 1 species
GAUGAACGCUGGCGGCGUGCCUAAUACAUGCAAGUCGAGCGAACAGAUGAGGAGCUUGCUCCUCUGACGUUAGCGGCGGACGGGUGAGUAACACGUGGAUAACCUACCUAUAAGACUGGGAUAACUUCGGGAAACCGGAGCUAAUACCGGAUAAUAUAUUGAACCGCAUGGUUCAAUAGUGAAAGACGGUUUUGCUGUCACUUAUAGAUGGAUCCGCGCCGCAUUAGCUAGUUGGUAAGGUAACGGCUUACCAAGGCAACGAUGCGUAGCCGACCUGAGAGGGUGAUCGGCCACACUGGAACUGAGACACGGUCCAGACUCCUACGGGAGGCAGCAGUAGGGAAUCUUCCGCAAUGGGCGAAAGCCCGACGGAGCAACGCCGCGCGAGUGAUGAAGGUCUUCGGAUCGUAAAACUCUGUUAUUGGGGAAGAACAAAUGUGUAAGUAACUAUGCACGUCUUGACGGUACCUAAUCAGAAAGCCACGGCUAACUACGUG